rnacentral:lncRNA from 1 species
CAGUUUAGGGUUUAAAACCCUAAUGCUGACUGCAUGUGAAAGCUCAGUUUAGAGUUUAAAACUCUAAUGCUGGCUGAAAGGAAAAUUCAGUUUAGGGUUUAAAACCCUAAUGCUGAUUGCAUGGGAAAUCUCAGUUUAGAGUUUAAAACUCUAAUGCUGGCUGAAAGGAAAAUUCAGUUUAGGGUUUAAAACCCUAAUGUUGAUUGCAUGGGAAAUCUCAGUUUAGAGUUUAAAACUCUAAUGCUGGCUGAAAGGAAAAUUCAGUUUAGGGUUUAAAACCCUAAUGCUGAUUGCAUGGGAAAGCUCAGUUCAGAGUUUAAAACUCUAAUGCUGGCUGAAAGGAAAAUUCAGUUUAGGGUUUAAAACCCUAAUGCUGAUUGCAUGUGAAAGCUCAGUUUAGAGUUUAAAACUCUAAUGCUGCUGAAAGGAAAAUUCAGUUUAGGGUUUAAAACCCUAAUGCUGAUUGCAUGGAAAAAGCUCAGUUUAGAGUUUAAAACUCUAAUGCUGGCUGAAAGGAAAAAGUUCAGUUUAGGGUUUAAAACCCUAAUGCUGACUAAAAAAGGGAAAUUCAGUUUAGGGUUUAAAACCCUAAUGCUGAUUGGCUGGGGAUAAAGCUCGAGAAUACUACACGAUCUAUUUUUUGAGUUUUCUUGUUUUAAUAGAAGAUAAAAGGGAGUUUUGCGAGAACUUACCUUUGAGUGAAUUCCUUAUUGCCAAAAUGUUUCUUGUACCCGUGUACCUUCUUCUUUGGGCGACACCUGCUUCUUGCACGGUUGUCUUGGAUUAACACCUGUUUCAAUUUCUCAGACAAAGAACAAUUGUUAUUUUGAAAAUGACGGUCGGUUUGGUGACCUUGAUCGUUCCCAAUUGCUUCGUUGCGUUUUUACAUCUGUUGCGAAGUCCCGCCAUUGAUUCGAAUUGAAUGGCGAAACCUUUAGACUGCUCAGGCUUGUAUUUCCGGAUUCUGUGAUGAUUUGCCUCGUAAGGCCCUUUUUUUUUU